CUACAUAUAAGUUUUGCAUAAUUCUUAUAUAAAAGGAGCGUUUGUUUCGCUAGGGGAUGAGAGUGCGCUACAUUAGUUAGUUGGUAGGGUAAGAGCCUACCAAGACUAUGAUGUAUAGCGGGGCUGAGAAGCUGAACCGCCACACUGGGACAGAGAUACGGCCCAGACUCCUACGGGAGGCAGCAGUAGGGAAUAUUCCACAAUGAGCGAAAGCUUGAUGGAGCAACACAGCGUGCAGGAAGACGACCUUAGGGUUGUAAACUGCUGUUAUGAGGGAAGAAAAAUAAAAUUAGGAAAUGAAUUUUACAUGACGGUACCUCAUCAGAAAGCACCGGCAAACUAUGUGCCAGCAGCCGCGGUAAUACAUAGGGUGCAAGCGUUAUCCGGAAUUAUUGGGCGUAAAGUGUCUGUAGGUGGUAUGUUAAGUCUAGUGUUAAAGACUAGGGCCCAACCCUAGCACGCUCUAGAUACUGACAUGCUAGAGUCAUAGAGAGGUUAGCGGAACUCCUAGUGAAGCGGUGAA
rnacentral:rRNA from 1 species